rnacentral:misc_RNA from 1 species
AACGCACAUUGCGCCCACCAGCAUUCUGAUGGGCAUGCCUGUUCGAGCGUCAUUUCAACCCUCAGGCUCCGGCCUGGUGUUGGGGCCCCUGCGGCUUACAAGCGCAGGCCCCGAAAGACAGUGGCGGGCUCUGCACGACCCCGAGCGCAGUAACUUACCUCUCGCUCCAGGGCGUCUGGCGGGCGACCCAGCCGUUAAACUUUGCCCCACGGCAACCUUUUUACAGUUGACCUCGGAUCAGGUAGGAAUACCCGCUGAACUUAA